GGAGAGAUGCCAGAGUGGACGAAUGGGAUCGCCUCGAAAGCGAUUAGGUGCCCACAAGGUGCCUCGGAGGUUCGAAUCCUCCUCUCUCCG
rnacentral:tRNA from 1 species